rnacentral:rRNA from 1 species
UUCCAGACUCCUACGGGAGGCAGCAGUGGGGAAUAUUGCACAAUGGGGGAAACCCUGAUGCAGCGACGCCGCGUGAGUGAAGAAGUAUUUCGGUAUGUAAAGCUCUAUCAGCAGGGAAGAAGAAAGACGGUACCUGACUAAGAAGCCCCGGCUAACUACGUGCCGGCAGCCGCGGUAAUACGUAGGGGGCAAGCGUUAUCCGGAUUUACUGGGUGUAAAGGGAGCGUAGACGGCUGUGCAAGUCUGAAGUGAAAGCCCAGGGCUCAACCCUGGGACUGCUCUGGAAACUGCGUCGCUGGAGUACGGGAGGGGCAGGCGGAAUUCCUGGUGUAGCGGUGAAAUGCGUAGAUAUCAGGAGGAACACCGGCGGCGAAGGCGGCCUGCUGGACCGUGACUGACGUUGAGGCUCGAGAGCGUGGGGAGCAAACAGGAUUAGAUACCCUCGUA